GGGGAGGCAACUCUUCAGGUGCAGGUACUCAGGAAAACCCAACUGGAGGGGGAAGCGGGGAUGGGAAUCCUAUAACUAGGUGGUGACCCUAAUGGCUUAUUCGGAGAGGCAUGGAUCGAGAGAGGGUUCAAUAGUCAUAGUUUUGAUGAAUGGUAAUACAGCUAAUGACUUAACCUGUGACCCAGUUGAAUCUAGCAGUCACCUCUGCACAGCUACUCCAGGGCCAGAGUCUCGUUCAGCCAGAGUUUGCAGGUCCUCUUACACAUCAGAAGCACCUCAUAUAUGCUUGGUUUGUCUGCACCAAGUAGGUUCCUGGGCAAGCUAAGCCAAGCCGUUCUAUUUCUGGAGCCCUCUGCCGAGAGCCGCUUCAAGCAAGAUCAUGGAAAUGUUCUGAUGACAGUCCCACACCGCUACAGUUGCCAGAUCUUCCCAGCGCCAGCGGCGCGCGGCGGCGGCGCGUUUACCUAAGCGCGGAGAAGUGUGAGGAUUUAAAAUACAUUCAUCUGUGGGCGAACAAGGAGGAAAAGAAGAAACAGAGGGCUGCCAGGCGAAGCGGGAACCAGAGGAGUACCCGGGCGCCCCUGGGCAGGAGCCAGGUGGGCGCCCUUUCGGGAAGAGAGCCCCGAGGGCCCAGUGGAGGGUCGCGGGAGGAGGGGAGGCGAUGCGAGUGUUCCUGUUUGCGUUCGCUUGCGCCAGCUUCUCCAGCCCCUCAAGCACAAAUGGGGAAAAGUCAGCUAGGAUUAUUGACUAGAAACACUACGUUAGAAGCCGGGGCUGCCCCAGCAACUGGACAGGUGCCAGCUCUGAUCUCCAGGCUGGGUAGGUCUCACCUGUGGCAGAAACGCACAGCCUCCCCCGCCCUGAGUCCAGGAUUUCGGGAGGGCGGGAGUGGGGAGACUCCCGAGGGGAAGAAGGAUCCCCGAAGCACCUGCUCCACCGGAUCCCACUACCUGUGCGUCUUCCGAGUCCCCGCAUCCUCCGAGCUGGACCCCGGGCCAUUUUUCAAGUGUCUCACCAGCUUUUGGACGCAGAGCCUCAACGGUUGCUUAGCUCAUUAUAAAUUCUCUUCUUUAUACUUUUCAAGGCUGUAGCCGUAUAAACAAUCGGUUUUCUUUGUAUCAUAUAAAAUAAAAGAU
ensembl:lncRNA